rnacentral:rRNA from 1 species
CCCUUAGAUGUUCUGGGCCGCACGCGCGCUACACUGAAGGGAUCAGCGUGUUUUCCCUUUCCGAGAGGAACGGGUGACCCGCUGAACCCCCUUCGUGGUAGGGAUCGGAGCUUGCAAUUGUUCUCCGUGAACCAGGAAUUCCCAGUAAGCGCAAGUCAUAAGCUUGCGUUGAUUACGUCCCUGCCCUUUGUACACACCGCCCGUCGCUACUACCGAUUGAACGUUUUAGUGAGGUAUUUGGACUGGGCCUUGGGAGGUUUCGGCCUCCCUUGUUGCUCGGAAAGACUCCCAAACUUGAGCGUUUAGAGGAAGUAAAAGUCGUAACA